AUUGAACGCUGGCGGCAUGCCUUACACAUGCAAGUCGAACGGUAACAGGUCUUCGGAUGCUGACGAGUGGCGAACGGGUGAGUAAUACAUCGGAACGUGCCCGAGAGUGGGGGAUAACGAGGCGAAAGCUUUGCUAAUACCGCAUACGAUCUCAGGAUGAAGGCAGGGGACCGCAAGGCCUUGCGCUCACGGAGCGGCCGAUGGCAGAUUAGGUAGUUGGUGGGAUAAAAGCUUACCAAGCCGACGAUCUGUAGCUGGUCUGAGAGGACGACCAGCCACACUGGGACUGAGACACGGCCCAGACUCCUACGGGAGGCAGCAGUGGGGAAUUUUGGACAAUGGGCGCAAGCCUGAUCCAGCCAUGCCGCGUGCAGGAUGAAGGCCUUCGGGUUGUAAACUGCUUUUGUACGGAGCGAAAAGGCUCCCUCUAAUACAGGGGGCUCAUGACGGUACCGUAAGAAUAAGCACCGGCUAACUACGUGCCAGCCGCCGCGGUAACAC
rnacentral:rRNA from 1 species